GCCUUGGUAGCUCAAUUGGCUAGAGCGUGGGACUUUUAAAAAACAUCCGGAGUUUCCGGGUUGUAGAGGUAUCCCAAGGUUGCGGGUUCGACCCCCGCCUGAGGCG